CAACGUCACUACGACGGCAGCCGACCGC
rnacentral:piRNA from 1 species